UACAGAGGGUGCGAGCGUUGUUCGGAAUUACUGGGCGUAAAGCGCGCGCAGGCGGCCUUUUAAGUCUCGUGGUGAAAUGCCGGGGCUCAACCCCGUGCCCGCCGGAGAUACUGGGAGGCUGGAGACAUGUAGAGGCAAGCGGAAUUCCGGGUGUAGCGGUGGAAUGCGUAGAGAUCCGGAAGAACACCGGAGGCGAAGGCGGCUUGCUGGGCAUUGUCUGACGCUGAGGCGCGAAAGCGUGGGGAGCGAACAGG
rnacentral:rRNA from 1 species